rnacentral:rRNA from 1 species
AUUGAACGCUGGCGGCAGGCCUAACACAUGCAAGUCGAACGAGUGGCGGAAGGGUGAGUAAUGUAUGGGAAACUGACUGGUGGAGGGGGAUAACUACUGGAACCGGUCGCUAAUAACGCAUACAAUCAGAUAUGACCAGAUAGGAUUAGCUUGUGUUUGGGGUAACGGCUAACCAAGGCUACGAUCCCUAGAUGGUCUGAGAGGAUGACCAGCCACACUGGAACUGAGACACGGUCCAGACUCCUACGGGAGGCAGCAGUGGGGAAUAUUGCACAAUGGGCGAAAGCCUGAUGCAGCCAUGCCGCGUGUAUGAAGAAGGCCUGCGGCUUGUAAAGUACUUUAAGCGGGGAGGCGUUACCCGCAGAAGAAGCACCGGCUAACUCCGUGCCAGCAGCCGCGGUAAUAC